UACGGGGGGGGGCAAGCGUUGUUCGGAAUUACUGGGCGUAAAGGGCUCGUAGGCGGCCAACUAAGUCAGACGUGAAAUCCCCAGGCUCAACCUGGGAACUGCGUCUGAUACUGGAUGGCUUGAAUCCGGGAGAGGGAUGCAGAAUUCCAGGUGUAGCGGUGAAAUGCGUAGAUAUCUGGAGGAACACCGGUGGCGAAGGCGGCGUUCUGGACUGCAACUGACACUGAGGAACGAAAGCCAGGGGAGCAAACGGG
rnacentral:rRNA from 1 species